UACGAAGGGGGCUAGCGUUGCUCGGAAUCACUGGGCGUAAAGGGUGCGUAGGCGGGUUUUUAAGUCAGAGGUGAAAUCCUGGAGCUCAACUCCAGAACUGCCUUUGAUACUGAGAAUCUUGAGUAUGGGAGAGGUGAGUGGAACUGCGAGUGUAGAGGUGAAAUUCGUAGAUAUUCGCAAGAACACCAGUUGCGAAGGCGGCCGACUGGACACAUAUUGACGCUGAGGCUCGAAAGCAUGGGGAGCAAACAGG
rnacentral:rRNA from 1 species